rnacentral:rRNA from 1 species
GACGAACGCUGGCGGCAUGCCUAACACAUGCAAGUCGAACGAGAAGCCUUCCUUCGGGGAGGUGGAGAGUGGCGCACGGGUGAGUAACGCGUGGGUAUCUGCCUUGUGGUAGGGAACAACCCAGGGAAACUUGGGCUAAUACCCUAUGAGCCCUUUGAAGCUUUGGUUUUGGAGGGGAAAGAUUUAUCGCCAUGAGAGGAGCCCGCGUCGGAUUAGCUAGUUGGUGGGGUAACGGCCCACCAAGGCAUCGAUCCGUAGCUGGUCUGAGAGGAUGAUCAGCCACACUGGGACUGAGACACGGCCCAGACUCCUACGGGAGGCAGCAGUGGGGAAUAUUGGACAAUGGGGGCAACCCUGAUCCAGCGAUGCCGCGUGAGUGAAGAAGGCCUUCGGGUUGUAAAGCUCUUUCGCAGGGAAAGAAAAAACGCGGGCGAACAGGCCGCGUCCAUGACGGUACCCUGAGAAGAAGCGCCGGCUAACUCCGUGCCAGCAGCCGCGGUAAUACGGAGGAUCCAAGCGUUAUCCGGAAUCAUUGGGUUUAAAGGGUCCGUAGGCGGUCUAAUAAGUCAGAGGUGAAAUCCUACAGCUCAACUGUAGCAUUGCCUUUGAUACUGUUAGACUUGAGUUAUUGUGAAGUAGUUAGAAUGUGUAGUGUAGCGGUGAAAUGCAUAGAUAUUACACAGAAUACCGAUUGCGAAGGCAGAUUACUAACAAUAUACUGACGCUGAGGGACGAAAGCGUGGGUAGCGAACAGGAUUAGAUACCCUGGUAGUCCACGCCGUAAACGAUGGAUACUAGCUGUUCGAUCAACAUUGGUUGGUUGAGUGGCUAAGCGAA